rnacentral:lncRNA from 1 species
AAAAGAGCUCCUUUAGUAAUUAUUUCAAGUAGAUCUUUAGGCAAGUAAACUCUCAGUUUUCAUAUGCUUCCUGCCCCCUUCUCUGUGCACUCCAAAGACUUAUGGAGAGUUUAGCUGGGUAUCAAAUCCUGAAUAGAUUUAUUUCUCUAAGGUUUUAAAGGUUUUUAUUUGUGUCCUGGCAUCCAUUGUUGCUGAGAGAAAAUCUUCCACUUGACAAUUUGAGCUUAUUACUAGGUAAUCUGCCUCAUAUUUAAAGUACCUUUUAAGAUUUCUUCUUUAUCCCAAUGCCCUGGAGUAGAUUUACUUUUUGUUUAUACUACUCAAUGAUUACUUUUUCUUUUAAUUUGAAAACUCAUUUUAUUCUUUAAUUUUGUAAAAUUUUCAAUAAUGACCUUUUCCAAAACAUAUUUUUUGCAGUUGAAUUAAAUUCUUUCUUUCUGGAACUCGCAUCAUAUGUAUGUGGGGUGUUUAAUCUGCCCUCUAUAGCUUGUAAAAUUGCUCUUUCACAUUUUCCAGUACUACUGUCUUAAUUUAAAAAAUAAUAAACCUACCAUUGAAGUAUUUGGCACAGAGGAGGAAGUACAAAGUGCAAACUUGCAGUGUCAUAUUGGCUGCACUUCUGGCACUUUUUUUUAAGUUAUUUUUAAGGCUAGUAUACUGUGUCAGGCAGCUGGUUCAAAAUCAAGUAAAGGAUUAAAAGCCUAAAGGCAGUAAAAUCAAGUAAAAUCAAGAUUUCCCCUAUUUUCUCCCCUAAAAUGCUUUCCCCUGUUUUCUCCUCUCAUAUACUUUAAUCCCUAGGUAAUAACUGGGAAGUUUUCCUUUAAAAAUAAUGUGUGGAAAAACAUAAAUAAAAAAGUUAGCUCCAACAAAGAAAGGAACCCAACAAAAAGGGGAGGACAUAUGUAGAUAAUUCACAUUAAAUAUUUCAAAGAAUUAACCUCACUCAUUUUCAAGUAAAUAUAAAUCAAAGCAAUGGAAGAUCAUUUACCCAUCAUAUUAGCAAUGAUUAGAGGAAUAGAAAAUUUUUGCUGAAGUCAUACUGAUGAACUGAUGAAUUUUUCUGCUGGUCUGUUCCAAGUCUAAAUUAGGACAGUUUGAGUGAUACCUGUCAAAAAUAUUAUAAAUGUUUUACCCCUUUCAUGCAGCAGCAUUGUGUCUGAAAAAUCAACCAUUAGAUAAUAAGUGGAAAUACAGGUCAAAUUCCCUCCCCACCAAGAGUUGUCUAUUUUAUCGUUAUUUAUGAUAAUUAAAAACUAGUAGCCAUCUAUAUCAAUGGUCCACAAACUUUAUGAGUUCUGUAGACAGAAAUAAUAGGGUCCUCAUAGUGAGCCCAUAGUCAUACACAUGCAUUAAAAUUUCAUGUGAAGAAACCUCUCAUUCCAUUCCAUUUGUCUUAGUCUAUUUAGUCUGCUACAACAGAAAUAUCAUAAACUGGGAGGCUUAUAAACAGUGCUUAUUUCUCAUAAUGAUGGGGUGGAGGGGACCCAAACACUUGGUCCACAGCACCAUUCCAUUCAUUUAAACAAAAUGACAAAGCUAGAUUUGACCUACCACACUGAUCCCAUCCCACAGCCUAAUUAGAGGUUAUGACUCAAUGAGAAAAGCAGUGGCACCUAAAUAUUGAAUAUGAAUGAAUGCAGCCAUUAAAUUUUAUGUACAUUUUUUUUAAUUUUGGUUUUAGGUUGGUAGGGAUUAUACUUUAUCAACCAGCAAGGGAGAGGCUGUUUCCAUGUAACUUCAUAUAGUGGGGACUUACUGUAAUGAUAUGAGAUCUCUGUUGCUGUACCCAGCCAUCUUUGUGUACCUCUUUCUCAAUACAUCCUGGACCCUUCAUGGGUUCUUCAUGAUGUCCUCAAGUCCCCUUCUCCUCUUACUUGUAAUUUCUUCAAGCUGAUAGAAUCUGCCUAGGUCACCCAACAUUUAAUUUCAAGCAUUUCUCAUCUGCCUGCCAUUGGUCUUGGGACUUCAUUCUAAAUCUAAUCGGUUAAUAUUAGCUGAGCCAGGUUGAUUUCAUUUAAAUCAACAAAAAAAUUGCUGAAAGCUGCAUUUCCUAGAAAAAGUGGCAAUCUAACUGGCAGGUGCUUGAGAUGCUAAUGUUAAAUAGAAAAAGUAAAAGGAAAAAUAGUUUGGAUUUUGUUUUUUGUUUUUUGUUUUUUGGUAUGGGGCUUUCUUUAGAAACUUUAUUAGAUGGAGAGUGAUAAAAAGGAAUCCAGAAUUUGUUUCACAUUAUAUUAAUAUUUAGAAAAUUUCUACAAAAGCAAGUAUUAUACAUUUACAAUCAGAAAAGGACAUCAAAAUUGGCUCCGAGGAAAAUGAUCAUUUCACGAACCAGCAUCAUGUAUUUCUGCUUUUGAUUUAGUUCAUCUUUGGGGUAUAAAUUUAUAGAUGUGAAGUAUCUGUGAAUAAAAUCCUGCUUGACGCAGAAAGCCUCAUGUUCUGCUAACACCAUUUCAGAAUACAUUGCUCAGUAUACAAUUUGGUUUGAGGAGACUGGGUACAAAAACUUGGAAAGAUCCCUUUCCUAGGGUCCUACUUUUCCCUACUCUCUCUGUAUAACCAUUAUUUAUUACCCGUUUUUAUUUAUUUGAUAAAUCUCCUGAUAACUUGAGGUUUGAAAACUUGGUCUGGGACAGGGCUGGGCAGAGUUUCACCUAUUUUCUUAAUAGACCAAAAUGAUAUUUCUGUCUGCUGAGGAUAUUCAUUUUUGUGGGCCGUAAUAAUUUCCCCCAAAUAAAACCAUUCACAAAUUCCAAAAUUCUAAAUAAUGUUGGUUCUAGCUCACUAGGAUUUCUAAAUCCCUUAGGAAAAAAAAAAAAGUGAUUAUCUCAUAAGGCUUAUUUAAAAAAUCCUGGGAGUUCCCGUCGUGGCGCAGUGGUUAACAAAUCUGACUAGGAACCAUGAGGUUGCGGAUUCAGUCCCUGCCCUUGCUCAGUGGGUUAAGGAUCCGGCGUUGCCGUGAGCUGUGGUGUAGGCUGCAGAUGUGGCUCGGAUCCUGCAUUGCUGUGGCUCUGGCGUAGGCCAGCGGCUACAGCUCCAAUUAGACCCCUAGCGUGGGAACCUCCAUAUGCCGCAGGAGCGGCCCAAGAAAUAGC